UACGUAGGGAGCAAGCGUUGUCCGGAAUCAUUGGGCGUAAAGCGCGCGUAGGUGGCCCCAUAAGUCCGCUGUGAAAGUCACAGGCUCAACCUUUGAAAGCCGGUGGAUACUGUGGGACUAGAGUACGGAAGAGGCGAGUGGAAUUCCUGGUGUAGCGGUGGAAUGCGCAGAUAUCAGGAGGAACACCGAUAGCGAAGGCAGCUCGCUGGGACGUUACUGACACUGAGGCGCGAAAGCGUGGGGAGCGAACAGG
rnacentral:rRNA from 1 species